UACGUAGGGUGCGAGCGUUUGUCCGGAAUUAUUGGGCGUAAAGAGCUCGUAGGCGGUGUGUCGCGUCGGUCGUGAAAACUUGGGCUUAACUCUGAGCUUGCGGUCGAUACGGGCAUCACUGGAGUUCGGGCAGGGGAGACUGGAAUUCCUGGUGUAGCGGUGAAAUGCGCAGAGUAUCAGGAGGAACACCGGUGGCGAAGGCGGGUCUCUGGGC
rnacentral:rRNA from 1 species